GCCAUAAAAGAAAAAGUGGUCAGCAAUAUUUAACAGCACGACUUGGCCCCGGGCGCAGAGAGCCGCGCUAUAAAAAGCCGCUGGAAUUUACUGGCAGCUACAAAUAUUUGCUUAACUUGCAUCUGGAGUUGGGGUGUUUUCCGGGGAGAGAGGAGGAGAGUGAGAGGACUGAUAUUUGCCAAAAGAACCGUGACGCAGGGUGACUUCCCAUCCAGGCCCUUCUUGGACCUUCCAGCACCCAAGAGAGGCAGGUCCCAGCAGGCCACUCCCACCUCUUUGCCCCUGUUACAGAAGGUCUCCAGACCCUCCUGCCUUGGACUGAGGUCCUGUUAUUCAGGGCAACUAUCAAAUUCUACCUGCUAAAACGUGAUGGAUUAGAGGAAAAAAAAAACCCAUCAGGAACCUGAAAAACCAGCAUCAUCUCCAUGACCACGGCUUGAACUCUCCUUCCAACUUAACGAUAAUAGGUUCUGUCUUAGAAACUGCUAUGUAAUGUGAUGUAUGGGGGUCAUUUGGCUCCAGACGAGGGAUGGAAGCACAAGCCAUAAAAUCCUGCCAGAGUUCCCUGAUCUUUGUGUGCUGUUGUUGUUGUUGAUAUUUGUUACUUGGCCUAUUUACCUGCUUCAGAAACACCAAGUAAAGGACAAACCUGGAAAUCUAAAAAGCAACUGAAAGCCUUCUCAACCCUUUUUAUUUAGAAAGCAUACUGUAAAAGUGAAAUCUAUGUUUUAUUUUUGUUUUCACCUUUGCAUGGUCAACCUCUGGUUGUCACUCAGCUCAGAAAACUUUCACGAGAGUUCAAAUAGUCGCCCCGCACACACAAUCAGGAUGUUAGUCUCUCUGACCAUUUAAGAAAAUUACAAUGACAAAUUCAUGAAGAAAAGGGCUUACACUUCAUGCCUCAACUAUGUGUACUUGAGUCCUGAAGUUAUUCAAGAUUCCAGGAAUAGCAGACACUUUGUUAACUAGAAAAAAAUUAAUGUAAUAAGCAUAUAGCA